UCAAGCGUCUGAAGGGCAUCUGGUGGAUGCCUUGGCACUGAGAGGCGAUGAAGGACGUAGCACGUUGCGAUAAGCUUCGGGGAGCCGCGAGCAGGCUUUGAUCCGAGGAUUUCCGAAUGGGGCAACCCACCGCGCAAGCGGUAUCCCCUGCUGAAUUCAUAGGCAUGGGAAGCGAACCCGGCGAACUGAAACAUCUAAGUAGCCGGAGGAAAGGACAUCAACCGAGACUCCGCUAGUAGUGGCGAGCGAACGCGGACCAGGCCAGCCAUCUUGUCUACAUAACCGGAACCGUCUGGAAAGUCGGACCACAGUGGGUGAUAGUCCCGUAUGGAUAAACCGGACGAGAUGCACGAGUAGGGCGGGGCACGUGAAACCCUGUCUGAACAUGGGGGGACCACCCUCCAAGCCUAAGUACUCCUCAGUGACCGAUAGUGCACCAGUACCGUGAGGGAAAGGUGAAAAGCACCCCGACAAGGGGAGUGAAACAGUUCCUGAAACCGGAUGCCUACAAGCAGUCGGAGCCUCUUCAUGGGGUGACGGCGUACCUUUUGUAUAAUGGGUCAGCGACUUAGAGUAUGCAGCGAGCUUAAGCCGGUAGGUGGAGGCGCAGCGAAAGCGAGUCUGAAUAGGGCGCCCGAGUUGCAUGCUUUAGACCCGAAACCUGAUGAUCUAGCCAUGGGCAGGUUGAAGGUGCGGUAACACGCACUGGAGGACCGAACUCACGCCUGUUGAAAAAGUCGGAGAUGACCUGUGGCUAGGGGUGAAAGGCCAAUCAAAUCAGGAAAUAGCUGGUUCUCCGCGAAAGCUAUUUAGGUAGCGCGUCGCGUAUUGCCGCGGGGGGUAGAGCACUGGAUGGGCUAGGGGGGCGCGAGCCUUACCAAACCUAACCAAACUCCGAAUACCCGUGAGCAGAGCGCGGCAGACAGACGGUGGGUGCUAAGGUCCAUCGUCGAGAGGGAAACAGCCCAGACCGCCAGCUAAGGUCCCCAAAUCACGGCUAAGUGGGAAAGGAUGUGGGAAGGCCAUGACAACCAGGAGGUUGGCUUAGAAGCAGCCAUCCUUUAAAGAAAGCGUAAUAGCUCACUGGUCUAGUUAAGCCGGCCUGCGCCGAAAAUGUAUCGGGGCUCAAGCCGUGUACCGAAGCUGCGGAUGUGAUCUUUGAUCACGUGGUAGCGGAGCGUUCCGUAAGCCUGCGAAGGGUGUCCGUGAGGCCGCCUGGAGGUAUCGGAAGUGAGAAUGCUGACAUGAGUAGCGACAAACAGUGUGAGAAACACUGUCGCCGAAAGUCCAAGGGUUCCUGCGCAAGGUUAAUCCACGCAGGGUGAGCCGGCCCCUAAGGCGAGGCCGAAAGGCGUAGUCGAUGGGAACCACGUUAAUAUUCGUGGGCCUGGCGGAGGUGACGGAUGGGAAAGCGUGUACGAUCUUAUCGGAUUGAUCGUGCUGUGGACCUGUUCCAGGAAACAGCCCCGCCAUACAGACCGUACCCCAAACCGACACAGGUGGACUGGUAGAGUAUACCCAGGCGCUUGAGAGAAUGGUGUUGAAGGAACUCGGCAAAUUGCCCUCGUAACUUCGGAAGAAGAGGGCCCCGUUUUGGCGCAAGCCAAGGCGGGGGGCACAGACCAGGGGGUAGCGACUGUUUACUAAAAACACAGGGCUCUGCGAAGCCACACAAGGCGACGUAUAGGGUCUGACGCCUGCCCGGUGCCGGAAGGUUAAGAGGAGAGGUGCAAGCCUUGAAUUGAAGCCCCGGUAAACGGCGGCCGUAACUAUAACGGUCCUAAGGUAGCGAAAUUCCUUGUCGGGUAAGUUCCGACCUGCACGAAUGGCGUAACGACUUCCCCGCUGUCUCCAACACCAACUCAGCGAAAUUGAACUCUCCGUGAAGAUGCGGAGUUCCCGCGGUCAGACGGAAAGACCCCGUGCACCUUUACUACAGCUUUGCAGUGGUGCUAGGGACUUCAUGUGUAGGAUAGGUGGGAGGCUUGGAAGCCUGGGCGCCAGCCCGGGUGGAGCCAACCUUGAAAUACCACCCUUGAAGUCUCUGGCAUCUAACCGUGGCCCGUGAUCCGGGUCCGGGACCCUGCAUGGCGGGUAGUUUGACUGGGGCGGUCGCCUCCCAAAGUGUAACGGAGGCGCGCGAUGGUGGGCUCAGAGCGGUCGGAAAUCGCUCGUCGAGUGCAAUGGCAUAAGCCCGCCUGACUGCAAGACUGACAAGUCGAGCAGAGACGAAAGUCGGCCAUAGUGAUCCGGUGGCUCCACGUGGACGGGCCAUCGCUCAACGGAUAAAAGGUACGCCGGGGAUAACAGGCUGAUGACUCCCAAGAGUCCAUAUCGACGGAGUCGUUUGGCACCUCGAUGUCGGCUCAUCACAUCCUGGGGCUGGAGCAGGUCCCAAGGGUUCGGCUGUUCGCCGAUUAAAGUGGUACGUGAGCUGGGUUUAGAACGUCGUGAGACAGUUCGGUCCCUAUCUGCCGUGGGUGUCGGAGUUUUGCGAGGAUCUGUCCCUAGUACGAGAGGACCGGGAUGGACAUACCUCUGGUGCACCGGUUGUCACGCCAGUGGCAUGGCCGGGUAGCUAAGUAUGGACGGGAUAACCGCUGAAAGCAUCUAAGCGGGAAACCCACCUCUAAACCAGAGCUCCCUUGAGAGCCGUGACAGACCAUCACGUCGAUAGGAGGCAUGUGGAAGGGCGGCGACGCCUGAAGCUAAGCCUUACUAAUCGCUCGAUCGGCUUGAUCCC
rnacentral:rRNA from 1 species